UGUCUAACAAUGAAAGUGGAGUAUCUGCAUGUAAGUGGAGCUCUUGGACUCUCACUAAGGAGUCCAACUGACCAGUCAUUUAAUUUCCACCUCUCAUUAGACUUCUAUUCUUAGAUCUGUGGGGGUCCGUCCCUGUAAAAGUUCAGGGGGCUUGAGGAGGACCAGACGGGGCUACCAUCUCAGCCUGGCCCAGUUCUUCCAGAGGCAGGGCAGGGAGCUCUGUAGCUGGCCUCAGAUCCUGGAGGAGCUCCCCUGGCACCUGGAGCAGAGUGAGGCCUGGAGGGAGCUACACACCUUCUUCAUAGAUCCACAGUAAGAGCAUGGAUAUACACUUCACACAUAAGGACACUAGGGGCACACAGUUACUGUUGGGUAAAAUAGUUUAGCCGCAGAUGAACUGUCAUCAUAUAUUUAACCUAACACUUAAACUGGGUGAGCCUUUAUAUCGGUUUACAGAUUCGCAUGUUUAACCAUCAUUUGUUUACAUAACGGUAUCCACUUACUAUCUGACCCGAGAACUGUAGAGCACCUGUUUAUAACUUGGAGACAGUCUCCUCAGCUGAGAAUGGAUGUUGUCCGGUACUGGACUCUCCUGAUCCUCAGAGGUUAUGACCCCUACACCUCGUACCAGAGCCUGCUGGGUAAGGGAAUCCACCCUCGUUCUCUUGUCCAAUCAGGGCGAUGAGCAUUCCCUCCUGCUACAUAUACAGGUAAAUGCAUCAUGGUUACACAUCUCAACACGCAUUCAGCGUUGAAUGUCACAAAACUGUAGAGAUAGCAUCAUUAAAUAAUGUAGCUAUUAUCUCCAUUCAAACCAGAGCAGAGAGAGGUACACAGCAACAGGGCCUUCAUGACUGAGGCCCAAAGUGACGGCAACGGUUAUUAUUCUUCACUGAUAACAAAUUGACUAUUGACGAUGUCUUUAGUGAUCUGUUACCAGUCAUCAUCAGUGAUCCUAUGUGACCAGUGAUUAUGACUGUUUUUGGUUUUUGUUCCCCACCUGUAGAAGAUGGUUGUCAGUAGGAUCCAGGUGUGAAAGGGAGAGUGGAGGUGUUGGUCUCUGAGUUGUUGCUCUGUCUGAACAGGAAGGGAGGAAGCAGAGCAGAUCCCACUGCAGGCUGAGAACAACCUCACACAGGCUGGUGAGCAGGACAGAAACAGGGAGAGUGUGAUGUUACUGCUGACAGCGCGGCAGACUUUGGCUGAGCUCUAUGGAGACGGACCAGCACAGAGAGGCAGAGACGUACUGUAGAUCAGCUCUGGAGACCGCCCAGACUCACACCGCUACCUGCCUUGAGAGACAUGAGAGAAUCACUGUUGGAAAGGGUCAGUUGCUUUGUGUACUCUGCCAGCUUGCUGUUUGUAGACGUCCGAACCAUCGAGGCCUCUCAGAUACUCAAUGGCAUCAUCAAUAUGGGACACCACAAACUCCACCUGUGUACUGACACCACUGUAUCACUGCUCUGUGGGAUACACAGACUCAGCCUGCAAGACCCACAUGGUGCUGAGAAGCACCUCCAGGUUGCCUUGGAAGACCAGGAGGCGCUGGUAUGGUAGAGAGCACCCUCUAGUGGUGGAGGAGUGCCUGGCAGACAUCUUGGCCCGACACCUGCGCUGACACAGCAGGUGUGGUGAAGAUGUGACGUGUUGAGGCAGAGGCUAGCAGUGGAGCUGUAUCGACACACGGUGCACGUCAAAGACCAGAACAUGAAGCUUUGUCCCCCCGCAUCGCCAUGUCUUCAGGCGAAGGGAUGCAGCCUCGCACGCACCUUGGUCAAACUUGGCAGGCAGAUAUGUCAUGGCUCCGGUAAUACAGAGAGUAGAGAGGCUGUUGAACUGCUGCAGAGAGCUCUGGACCUGUACAUCUGCUUCCUGGGGUCUGAUCACACACUGACCAGAGACUUACAACAGGUUUUAAACACAGAAUCCAGGAGACCUCUGACCACUUGGGUCUUCAGUUCCAGAACCCUCUCCCACCUCUCCACUAGGAGACUAAGCAGUGGGACCAGACCCAACACAGCCGCACCCCUCCACUCCCACCUGGCCUGGUACCGGGGCACCACACACACCCCUCUGGACCUCUCCGGAAAGAGAUUCCUGUCAGCCCCAUCCAACAAGUUCCGCAAUACACAGCCAGAACUGAAACCAGAACUGUGGAAUACCUGAACUACAUCAACAGACAGAACCAACUGUCUUCUUCUCCCAGGCCCUGGUCUGCCUUCCAGACCACAGUGUUUGGGCCACAGAGUGACAUCAGAAACCUGAUCUCAAACCCAGUCCUUCUUCAGCACCGGGCUUUCAUUCCAUAGACAGGACCCAAGUGCUGCAUAGGGCAGGCUGGUGCCACCUACCAGGCAGGUACGUUCUGGAGGAACGGACAGUAACAGCUUUGAACAGAGAGAUUGGAUCCCCUUUGCACACACAGAGAUGCACACCGCUGGUCAGACAGACAGGCCAGGGACAGGGAGGAGAACAGAGCUGGUCAGACAGACAGGCCAGGGACAGGGAGGAGAACAGAGCUGGUCAGACAGACAGGCCAGGGACAGGGAGGAGAACAGAGCUGGAGAGACAGACAGGCCAGGGACAGGGAGGAGAACAGAGCUGGAGAGACAGACAGGCCAGGGACAUGGAGGAGAACAGAGCUGGAGAGACAGACAGGUCAGGGACAGGGAGGAGAACAGAGCUGGAGAGACAGACAGGUCAGGGACAGGGAGGAGAACAGAGCUGGAGAGACAGACAGGUCAGGGACAGGGAGGAGAACAGAGCUGGAGAGACAGUGUCUUAUUCUGCCAGGAGGCACUAGAGAGAAGAGAAAGAUCUAGAGAAGACUGCUCUCAUGGUGACCACUGAACUAUUUGAGUGUUUAUUCUUUUACCACUUUUGAUACCAAUCAGCUGUUUUUAUUUUUUCCAUAUAAUUUCAAAUAGAAUUGUUGCAUGUUUACAUGGAGUGAAAUGGCCCCUAUUUUGUACAGAAACUAAAUGAUUUGACUUCAUGUUGUCAAAUGAAUCGACCCUUUUUAGUUUUCUGUAGGGUUGCAUCUAAAUAUUGUUUUAAUGUUUUGUAAGAUGGUUAAGCUCCUCAUCCUGGUGUGCAACAACAUUGACCUUUUAUCUCAGAAGGCAAUACUUAUAGUAUUUCUAGUCAAGUGAGUGAUGUAAUCAACCAUUGUAAGCACUAGUAAACGAUGUGACCGAAAGCAUGAAUUGAGCAACAUGCUACAGAUGCUGUGAAGUAGGACUAAGCCAGUUUGGACCUUACCAUGUAAUGUAGAGUUUGGGUCAUACGUUCAAAGGUCUGUAUGUUUGUAUAUAUAUAUAUAUAUGUGUGUGUGUGUGUCUAUGUUUGUGUAGAAUUGAGUGUGUGUGUGUGUCACAGGAGGUUGGUGUCACCUUAAUUGGUGGAGGACGGGAUCGUGGUGGUGGCUGAAGCGGAAUUAGUGGAAUGGUAUCAAAUACAUCAAUACGGCCGGAAUGGUUCAUGCUGCGGGCGGGCAGUGGGUGGUCAGACGACUUCAGGAUGAAAAUGUUGUUUUAGUCCAGCCAGCAGAGGCUCAUGUUACACAGCCGGCUUGCGCACCUGCUUCUAACAGUGGUGGCAAAAACAAUGAUCCGAUGUGAUUGUGUUUGUGGCCAUUUAUGUGAUGAAUGAUAACAUGAUCAAAUCCUAUAGGAGUCCAAUAAGACUGGUUCCAAAAUCGGAUAGGAUUUGUAUAUUAGUAUCUUGUAUUGGAAUCCUAUAGGAUAGAAUGGUAAAGAGUCCAAUAGGACUGGUUCCAAAAUCGGAUAGGAUUUGUAUAUUAGUAUCUUGUAUUGGAAUCCUAUAGGAUAGAAUGGUAAAGAGUCCAAUAGGACUGGUACCAAAAUCGGAUAGGAUUUGUAUAUUAGUAUCUUGUAUUGGAAUCCUAUAGGAUAGAAUGGUAAAGAGUCCAAUAGGACUGGUACCAAAAUCGGAUAGGAUUGUUCUGUUGGUUUGUUGUAGAUUAAAUCCUAUAGGAUAUAAUCCCAUAGGAGUCCAAUAGGACUAGUUCCAAAAUCUGAGAGGAUUUUUCUGUUGGUCAUACUGCAAAUGAACUUGCAACCUUGAAUCCCUCCCAUGUUGUGGUGGUGUGUUGAAUAGGUUGAGAGGUGUGAGUACGUAAAUUUAUGGAGAUUGCGCUCCGGUUAAAGGCUUUCCUACACUGUACGUCAGAUUGUCUAUUACGAUUAUUACAUGUCACACUGUGUGAUGUUACCAAAUUAAAAUCAUAAUAUCAACUUGGCCAGAUUGUACGAUUUGCUUCAGUUCUGUCGAGAAAGUCUGCGAUGGCUAAAAUUGCAGAAAGGCUAUGACAAUGUUCUGCCAGUAUGAGUGUUUGGCUGAAAAUCUCCCUCCUGACAGAAUUCUCCUCCACGCACGUACUCAAUUCUUCAUUGCUGAGACUUCCUUGCUAGUUGAGAUUUCACUAGUAAUGUCUGCAGUUUUCGGGUUUGGCUAUUUGUUUCAAGUGUAUUAAUCUAAAAAUAAAUCUCUUUGCCAAAA
ensembl:lncRNA